AUUAGUGAAAUUUCGAAAUUAGGGUUUCCAAUUUUGAAAUUAGGGUUUUCUUUGCAAUUAGGGUUUCAAAUUGGGGAUUUUUUCCCAAAAUUUGGGUUUUUCAUAUUUAAAUCAAAUUUUCAUUCAAUUAGAUUCGGUUAAGGUCACAUUAGUCUAAUUAGAGCUAAUUCAAUCCUCGUGGGAACGAUAUUUGGACUCAUAGUCCAUUUUACUACUUGUUAACGAACCGUACACUUGCG
rnacentral:lncRNA from 1 species